AGUGAACGCUGGCGGUAGGCCUAACACAUGCAAGUCGAACGGCAGCACAGUAAGAGCUUGCUCUUACGGGUGGCGAGUGGCGGACGGGUGAGGAAUACAUCGGAAUCUACUUUUUCGUGGGGGAUAACGUAGGGAAACUUACGCUAAUACCGCAUACGACCUACGGGUGAAAGCAGGGGAUCUUCGGACCUUGCGCGAUUGAAUGAGCCGAUGUCGGAUUAGCUAGUUGGCGGGGUAAAGGCCCACCAAGGCGACGAUCCGUAGCUGGUCUGAGAGGAUGAUCAGCCACACUGGAACUGAGCCACGGUCCACGCUCCUACGGGAGGCAGCAGUGGGGAAUAUUGGACAAUGGGCGCAAGCCUGAUCCAGCCAUACCGCGUGGGUGAAGAAGGCCUUCGGGUUGUAAAGCCCUUUUGUUGGGAAAGAAAAGCAGCAGGUUAAUACCCCGCUGUUCUGACGGUACCCAAAGAAUAAGCACCGGCUAACUUCGUG
rnacentral:rRNA from 1 species